rnacentral:misc_RNA from 1 species
GCAUACGCAUGUAUGCACGUGUCCACAGCCACAGGGGCACAUGAUGGAGGCCUACAUACACACACUGCGGCUGCGCGUGCGAGAUGCGGCGCAUUCGUGCUGGACGGCAGCCUUCCCGUCAGAUCGUCCGUCGGCUGCCUAUUCGAUCUAUACGUGUAUCAUCAACAGCGGCCUGCUGGUGUGCAGCUUUGCGGUGGUGCUUUCACACCCGUGCGAAACGGUGGCGGGGCUUUGGGUGUACGCGGGCAUGGCGCACUGCUUCGUCAACAUGAUUUUCGGCGUCUUGGUAGUGGUGCUGACGAGGCGGCAGAUCGCCGCCGGCAUUCCGGAAGAGACGUCACAGUGGCUCGUGUGUUUCUCUAACCCUCUCAUCGCGGUGUACUCGCUGUACGUAGUAUGGGAAAUUGUAUGGAUGAUCGCGGUCGUCCAGUUUUCCGACCGCAAUCCCCACACCGUCUGCUCCUCGCACCUGAACGUGCAAGUUGCCUUCUUUGUGCUCUAUCUGCUGGUCGGCUUUGCUCUCUUCUACAGCACGUUCAUCACGGAGCGGUGGCGCCGACCGCGGUGGCGGCGCUUCGCGGCGAUGCGCUACGACUACCUCCACCGCACACGCAGCCGGUACACCGUUCGCUGGAACGAUGAGGACACUUCCAUCGGUGGCGACGGGCAGCCUGGAGACCUGGACCGGGUAAGGAUGUCGCCUCUUGACGGCACAGAGCGCACCACCACAUUGGACUACGCGAGCAUCAUGGAUGACUCGACGACGGCGGCCGGCGAUGGGCGGCGGGACCGCGAUAGUCGCGAUGCACGCGGCUGCAGGCGAACAGGGGGAUGAAGCUGCAUAUCCAUGCACGCAGGCGUGCGUGUCUUAGCGACUCCGCCCCACCCCAACCCUCUCCCCGUAGAGCAGUACCCUGGAAUCCUUCUUCCUCGGUCGAUGCAGUGGAGAUGUCGGCGUGUUUACGCCCACACACAAUCUGUGUGUGGACGCAUCGGUAGCCGCUCUACCUCAGCUCCUCUAGCUCUUAACGCGCACCUCCUGCCCGUGCUUCUUCGUCCACUGUCUUUUGUUCGGCAUGGGGGCACGGCUGCGCUUUUUCUUGUUGCUGCUUCCGAGAGCUUCGAAGCACGCCGAAAAGGGUUGAGGAAGGAGUACACAAGCCCACGCGUACGAAGGCAGAGGAACGAGAGCGAGCGCGCUCAGUGCACGUGAUUCUUUAUUGCUUUGCCGGCCUGUGAAGACCUUGCACCAGUACCUCCUGCUGCUGUCGACACACUCUGUCCUCUGCAAGCGUGUCGUGUAAAGAAAUGCCUGCGACAGGGCUCACUAUCUUGGGCGACGGAGGCUGUGCUGCUUCACAAGCCUCUCUGUCGUAUUGUGGGGACUGGCGACACUCGUCACCAGUGUCGCUGAGCGGUCGGUUGUGUCCCACCCACCCACCCAACCACUCACUCAUCCUCAUCUCCCCUACCGAUCGCCACAAGCUCGACAUGAUUGGCCCUCUUUGUGCCACAUGUCUCCUCCAUCAGGCGCCCUUUCGCACUGCUGUUUCUGAUCGCUCAUCCACCACCCAUCCCACCCACACGUGCGCCCACCUUUCUCAAGGCUCUUUUUCCUUUCGAGCUACAGACACUCACCGACCCAUUCACGCAGGCACAUACUCACGUGGAUGCGUGUGAACACACAGCUCUGCACCCUUCUCCUCCUACCCAGC